CCUUGACGUAUCGUUUUGAUCAAACUUUCUACUCCAUAUUGCUUUUUCGGGUCUUGUUCGACGAGGAAGAUGUAAAUAUACCUACAUAUACACGAAGGGAACAAACGGUAAAGAUAGCUGAUGUUAAAUAGGAGAUGCUAUGGAACACUUCGAAGAAACGGAAUCAAUUAAAAAUUCACCUGAAACAGGCGACAUUGAAAAACGUGAGGAGGAAACGAACCGUGAUUUCGAGAAUGAAAAAGCCAUACACGGCGUCCCUGGUGAUCUCACGAAACAUUUACUGAAACAAUCUGAUCAAGCUUCAGAAACAUUGACAACACCUAACAUUGCAGCUCAAAUAGAAAACACACCAGAUAAGAACGCACAAACACCUACUCCGAGGUAUAAUUUAAAACAUGCGCGAACAAUCGAUAACCAAACA